rnacentral:rRNA from 1 species
AAAUUGAAGAGUUUGAUCAUGGCUCAGAUUGAACGCUGGCGGCAGGCCUAACACAUGCAAGUCGAACGGUAACAGGAAGAAGCUUGCUUCUUUGCUGACGAGUGGCGGACGGGUGAGUAAUAUCUGGGAAACUGCCCGAUGGAGGGGGAUAACUACUGGAAACGGUAGCUAAUACCGCAUAACGUCGCAAGACCAAAGAGGGGGACCUUCAGGCCUCUUGCCAUCGGAUGU